rnacentral:rRNA from 1 species
GACGAACGCUGGCGGCGUGCUUAACACAUGCAAGUCGAACGGAAAGGCCCGGCUUUUGUGGGGUGCUCGAGUGGCGAACGGGUGAGUAAAACGUGAGUAAACUGCCCUUGACUUUGGGAUAACUUCAGGAAACUGGGGCUAAUACCGGAUAGGAGCUCCUGCUGCAUGGGGGGGGUUGGAAAGUUUCGGCGGUUGGGGAUGGACUCGCGGGUUAUCAGCUUGUUGGUGGGGUAGUGGCUUACCAAGGCUUUGACGGGUAGCCGGCCUGGGAGGGUGACCGGCCACAUGGGGCCUGAGAUACGGCCCAGACUCCUACGGGAGGCAGCAGUCGGGAAUAUUGCACAAUGGGCGGAAGCCUGAUGCAGCAACGCCGCGUGCGGGAUGACGGCCUUCGGGUUGUAAACCGCUUUCGCCUGUGACGAAGCGUGAGUGACGGUAAUGGGUAAAGAAGCACCGGCUAACUACGUG